CAUCCAGUGCAGACGAUAUACAACAUUUGAUAAAACUUUUCAUAAUAAUCUGGGGAUCAAGUUCAUUCCAUGCAUGCACGAUCUAUUUGCUUGUCA